rnacentral:tRNA from 1 species
GCGCCCGCGGUCGGGGGCGUGGCGGCGGGGGUGGGCGUCCCGGGCGGGGCCGGGGUUCCGGUCCCCCGGGUGGC